CCUUGUUCCUUGUCCAAAUUCCCUGGAGGAGGGGUUGGUUUGCUUUUAGGUUUAGGAAAAUCCUCAGUCCUGGAAUCUGUUGGCUUUUUUUUCAGGAUACCGGGAUCAGUGGAGCUGGAUGGGUUCUUUGUUGAUUGAAUCCCUUCCUGGCACAUGCCAGGGAUCUCCAGGGCUCCAGGGCUGUCUACAGUGGUCUGGACUUUUCCCGGGAGAUGAUAUGGAGAAUUCCAAGGCUGUGGUGUGGGACAGCCCCGUGCCAUAUCCAUGUGUUGAGGAAUGAUGCUCCAGCUGGAAGAACACCACAGAAUUCCCUCACCCUCACAUUCCCAGGUCAUUCCUGCGCAAAGAACACAGAUCCAUCCAGAGGUUUUGGGGCUUCCAGGGGUGUCUGCCCGGCUGGGGAGCGGAUUGUGCCGAAGGGAGACCUUGGAAGUGCCACGGGCUGGAUGAAACGAUUUGUUGGAAUGCUAAAUUUGGCAGCAGCUUUUCAUCCAAACCGGAGCCACUUUGCACCUGUCUGGGAAGAUAAAGGGACUCGGAAUGAGCGUGAGUGGGAUUUUUCUGCCUGAACGGGAUACAAAGGCCUUGGCACAAAUGAAUUCCUGAGCUUCAAAGCCUUUCCUGAAUGUUUUUCCACCCCUGUCAGGCUGUUUUAUUUCCCAGGUACGGUGAUAUCACCGAGCAGACCAUUUGAAGGCUGCUCCACUUGCUUUAAGGAGGAAUGGGCAGACGAGGAUGUGCUGCUAUUCCCUACUGGAUCAGCUUUUCUGGGACAGGGAUGUAUAUUUUUUAAAAUUCUUUUUGUGGUAGGAGCAUCUAAGUUGUGUCCUUGGAUGAUGGUGGCUGCCGUGUUCAAAGGGAAUCACUGUCCUUCCUUCCAGGUGGGAUGGUUGUUGUGGUGUGUCCAUCCCUGAGAGGGUUUUUUUGUGAGGAGGGCGAUUGGUUGGAAGGGACCUUACAGCCCCACCAGCUCCAGCCCCUGCCAUGGGCAGGGACACCUGCCACUGUCCCAGGUUGCUCCAAGGCUGGUCCAGCCUGGCCUGGGACCUUUCCAGGGAUGGAGCAGCCACAGUUACUCUGGGAAAUCCGUUCCAGGGCCUAACCAAUUUUUUCCCAAUAUCCCAUCUAACCCUGUUCUCUGUCACUGGGAAGCCAUUCCCUCCUUUCCUGUCCAUACCCUUGUGAACAGGCUCUCUCCAUCUUUCUUGGGAAUAUCUCCUGAUAGGAAAGCACUGCUUUUCCAUACUGGGCAUGGAAAGCAGUGUGCCAGGCCCUCUCCAUGAGGAAGACUGAAGUGGUGUGCUGAGUAGUUUUCCUGAGGGAAGGGAUGUUGGGAGAGCCCCAGGUAUGGCUGAGGUGAGAUUUUAUUGCUCCCUAAAUUCCCUGACUGGGGGGGAGCAGAUUGGAGCUGGGCUGUGCUCCAAGGGGACAAGAAGCAGGACAAGAGGAAAUGGCCUGAACUUGUGUCACUGGAAGUUCAGGUUCAACACCAGAAGGAAUUUCUCCAUUGAAAGGGUGAUGAGACACUGGAAGGGGCUGCCUAGGGAGGUGUGGGAGUCCCUAUCCCGG
rnacentral:lncRNA from 1 species